rnacentral:rRNA from 1 species
UACGUAGGUCCCGAGCGUUGUCCGGAUUUAUUGGGCGUAAAGCGAGCGCAGGUGGUUUAUUAAGUCUGGUGUAAAAGGCAGUGGCUCAACCAUUGUAUGCAUUGGAAACUGGUAGACUUGAGUGCAGGAGAGGAGAGUGGAAUUCCAUGUGUAGCGGUGAAAUGCGUAGAUAUAUGGAGGAACACCGGUGGCGAAAGCGGCUCUCUGGACUGUAACUGACGUUGAGGCUCGAAAGCGUGGGGAGCAAACAGG